rnacentral:rRNA from 1 species
CAAUAGCGUAUAUUAAAGUUGUUGCGGUUAAAAAGCUCGUAGUUGGAUUUCUGCUGAGAACGACCGGUCCGCCCUUUGGGUGUGUAUCUGGCUCUUUCUUGGCAUCUUCUUGGUGAACGUUGCUGCACUUGACUGUGUGGAGCGCUACCCAGGACUUUUACUUUGAGGAAAUUAGAGUGUUUCAAGCAGGCAUACGCCUUGAAUACAUUAGCAUGGAAUAAUAAGAUAGGACCUCGGUUCUAUUUUGUUGGUUUCUAGAGCUGAGGUAAUGAUUAAUAGGGAUAGUUGGGGGCAUUCGUAUUUAACUGUCAGAGGUGAAAUUCUUGGAUUUGUUAAAGACUGACUACUGCGAAAGCAUUUGCCAAGGAUGUUUUCAUUGA